AUUCGGUUUCAAUAAAAGUGUAAAAAGAAGAGGCUCCGAACAAAGUUGCAGCGAUGACAGAACUAUAAGCACGUUACCGUCUCUGGAUCAGGCACAUCAGGCAUUUGUGCUUGCUGGUGAUCAAAUCCAUCUUCAUCUUUCUGUCACAUUAUUUUACCAAUAGUACAUGCAGUUUUAAAGACAAUAUUACAAAAAUAACAACCAGUCAAAAAAAAUGGUGUAAUGAAAACAUAAAAGUGCACCACGUAUAAAGACAAUAUUACAAACAUAACAACCAGUCAAAAAUAAUGGUGUAAUGAAAACAUAAAAGUGCACCACGUAAAGUUGCACCUAACCAGAAAGUUACUGCAAUAUUCCAGGCAAAACAAGUGAUCCAUCAAAGUACCCAUUCAUCAUUGUAAAGUGUGGGGUUUUUGUGGGGGGCAGCAGAAGAAGCAAUUAGAAUAGAUAUUCCAUGGUAGGACUUCAAAAUGAGCAGAACAAGCAUUUGAGAAAUGACUAAAAUUUGAAGAGCUGAUCCAAUAGUCUUCGCUAGUGAAGCUUGCUAAUUUUCUUUAAACUUUUUUCGUUAUAAUGUGAGAUCAGAAGGUCAGAAAUUAAUGUCAACAUGUGACUCCAACAUGAUAUCCACAGAUGACGAAUAUGAACAAUGAUGCAACAGAAAUCCAUGUUAUUUCGAAUUCACUCACAACCAUGCAUUCUAAGCUGAUACUUCUCCUGAAUACAUUUUCUUCAGGUUGUUUUUACCACAAAUCCUUGUUACGUAGCAUGCACGUUCAUGCCUUCAUAUGAAUGUAAUCAACUUGCUAUAUACUGUGAGAAAGCACAAGAGAAAAUAUAUUGUUGAUAUUAUUUACUUGUGUUUAACACAAUACAAUGAGCCAUAUAUACACACAUAACAUAUCCUACUCAUAUUGGAUUAGGGUUAUUUACUCCCUAAUUACAUGACUAUUCUAACACUACCCCUCAAGCUGGUGCAUAUAAAUCAUAUGUACCAAGCUUGCUACAUAUGUAAUUAAUGCGAGGACCAAUGAGGGACUUGGUAAAAAUAUCUGCAAGCCGAUCAUUCGACUUCACAAACUUUGUAGCAAUAUCUCCCGAGAGUAUCUUUUCUCUAACAAAGUUUCUACUUCACAAACUUUGUAGCAAUAUCUCCCGAUAAUAUCUUUUCUCUAACAAAGUGACAGUCA
rnacentral:lncRNA from 1 species